rnacentral:rRNA from 1 species
UCAGACGAUGCGUCAUGCAUAUCAAUAAGCGGAGGAAAAGAAACUAACAAGGAUUCCCCUAGUAACGGCGAGUGAAGCGGGAAGAGCUCAAAUUUGAAUCUUAAAGGGUUUCCCUUUACGAAUUGUAGUUUAAAGAGGUGUUUUCUGUUGAGGUUUUGGUAAAAGUUCUUUGGAAUAGGACAUCAUAGAGGGUGAGAAUCCCGUAUUUGACCUUUACUUUCAACUUUGUGAUACACUUUCAAAGAGUCGGAUUGUUUGGGAAUGCAGUCCAAAAUGGGUGGUAAAUUUCAUCUAAAGCUGAAUAUUGGCGAGAGACCGAUAGCGAACAAGUACCGUGAGGGAAAGAUGAAAAGAACUUUGAAAAGAGAGUUAAACAGUACGUGAAAUUGUCAAAAGGGAAGCGUUUGACACCAGUGUUGUUUUUCUGAAAAUCAAUUAAAGAACUGUUUAUGCUAAGUUGUUUAGACUUUAUCAGCUAUCUGUUUAGUUUUGAGCUUUUCUUUAAUGCACUUUUCAGUUAACAAGUCAACAUCAAUUUCUUUUGCUGUAAAAAAGCUUGAGGAAGGUGGCUUGAGAUUCGUCUUAAGUGUUUAUAGCCUCUUGCCUAUGCAGUCGGAGAGAUUGAGGUCUGCAGCGUAGAUCCUUCGGGGCUAAAUGCAUUUGUGCUAAGUUAUAGCAUUUUAUAGACAACUUGUUGACUAUGAUUUGUCUUGUAGCUUACUCGCUUAUGUUAUUUUACCUACGCUUAGGAUGUUGAGCGCAUGUCUCUCUCU